GAGGCCGUGGUGGAAUCGGUAGACACGCAGCUUUGAGGGGGCUGUGAGGUUAUCUCGUGUGCGUUCAAGUCGCAUCGGCCUCACCA
rnacentral:tRNA from 1 species